rnacentral:rRNA from 1 species
AGAGAGAGACAUGCGCGCAUAUCAAUAAGCGGAGGAAAAGAAACUAACAAGGAUUCCCUUAGUAACGGCGAGUGAAGCGGGAAGAGCUCAAAUUUGAAAUCUUCAAGGUUCUACCUUGACGAAUUGUAGUUUAUAGAAGUGUUUUCUGUUAGUGGAGUGGCAAAAGUUCUUUGGAAUAGGACAUCAUAGAGGGUGAGAAUCCCGUAUUUGGUCAUUCCUCCUAGCGUUGUGAUACACUUUCAACGAGUCGGAUUGUUUGGGAAUGCAGUCCAAAAUGGGUGGUAAAUUUCAUCUAAAGCUAAAUAUUGGCGAGAGACCGAUAGCGAACAAGUACCGUGAGGGAAAGAUGAAAAGAACUUUGAAAAGAGAGUUAAACAGUACGUGAAAUUGUCAAAAGGGAAGCGUUUGACACCAGUGUUGUUUUUCCGAAAAUCAAUUACGAAUGUUUUAGUUUUUGAGGAGUUAUGACUUCAUCGGCUUGCUCCUUUCUUUAUGAAACUUUCUUAAUGCACUUUUCGGUUAACAAGUCAACAUCAAUUUCUUUUGUUGUAAAAGGGUAUGAGGAAGGUGGCUUUCUUUUCGGAGAAAGUGUUUAUAGCCUUGUGCCUCUGCAAUCGGAGAGAUUGAGGUCUGCAGCGUAGAUCCUUCGGGGUUAGAUACGUUUGUGCUAAGUUAUAGCUUUUCAUAGACAACUUGUUGACUAUGUUUAGUCUUGUAGCUUACUCGCUGACGCUAUUUUACCUACGCUUAGGAUGUUGAUAGUCACAGCGUGUAC